GACGAACGCUGGCGGCGUGCCUAAUACAUGCAAGUAGAACGCAGUUGCGAACGGGUGAGUAACGCGUAGGUAACUGCCUCAUAGCGGGGGAUAACUAUUGGAAACGAUAGCUAAUACCGCAUACUGUGAGAUGGACCUGCGUUGUAUUAGCUAGUUGGUGAGGUAAAGGCUCACCAAGGCGACGAUACAUAGCCGACCUGAGAGGGGUAGCGGCCACACUGGGACUUAGACACGGGCCAGACUCCUACGGGAGGCAGGAGUAGGGAAUGUGGGGAAAGGGAGGGAAGUCUGCACGAGUAACUGCGCGGGAGUGAAGAAGGGGUUCGGAACGGAAAGCUCUGUUGGUAGAGAAGCGUUAACGAACCAGAAAGGGUCGGCUAACUACGUGCCAGCAGCCGCGGUAAUAC
rnacentral:rRNA from 1 species